rnacentral:tRNA from 1 species
GCUUAAGUAUUUUAAUAAAAAUAUUGUUUUGUGGGAUCAAUGAUAUGGUUUAUCCAUCUUAGGCU